GGUCUAUUAGUUCAGUUGGUUAAAGUAUUGUGCUAAUAAUGCAAAAGUCACAGGUUUGAUAUCUGCAUGGACUA
rfam:Glycine soja cultivar W05 scaffold186_16, whole genome shotgun sequence.